AAUAUUGUCUGGCCACUUAAAAUAAAGUGCCCCAUUUAUGGUAAAUCAUCACCUAGUAUUGGAAAUUCCAUCUAUUGCCUUUUCACACGCAACCUCUACUCAAACCUUUCCAACUUCCUACAACUUCAUCAAACUUAUCUGCUAGGGCAACUGAAACCUUUCCACAAAAACAACAAGAUGUCACAACAUCCAACACCAUCUGG
rnacentral:lncRNA from 1 species